rnacentral:sRNA from 1 species
GCUUCUUGUAGUUUCCCAUUUCGGCACUUAUUACAUUGUGUUGACACUGCUGCUGUUCUAACUUUUGUUCUGUAUUGUUCACUACUAUAUCUCAGAUUUUUGCUAGGAUCUGACACAUAAGAGACUGAUUAAAUUAACGUCAAUUCUUUUUGUCAGGUGAGCCGUUCUCCAACCCUUUGGCCCCCGAUGGCCACGAUGUGGAUGAUCCUCACUCCUUCCACCAAUCAAAACUCACCAAUGAAGACUUCAGGAAACUU